UAUCGUAUAUUUGAUAGUACCUACUACAUGGAUAACCGUGGUAAUUCUAGAGCUAAUACAUGCUUAAAAUCCCGACUUCGGAAGGGAUGUAUUUAUUAGAUUAAAAACCAAUGCCCUUCGGGGCUCACUGGUGAUUCAUAAUAACUUCUCGAAUCGCAUGGCCUUGUGCCGGCGAUGGUUCAUUCAAAUUUCUGCCCUAUCAACUUUCGACGGCUGGGUCUUGGCCAGCCGUGGUUACAACGGGUAACGGAGGGUUAGGGCUUGACCCCGGAGAAGGAGCCUGAGAAACGGCUACUACAUCCAAGGAAGGCAGCAGGCGCGCAAAUUACCCAAUCCCGAUACGGGGGNGGUAGUGACAAUAAAUACUGAUACAGGGCUCUUUUGGGUCUUGUAAUUGGAAUGAGUACAAUUUAAAUCCCUUAACGAGGAACAAUUGGAGGGCAAGUCUGGUGAGGAAAAGUACAAUGCUGCUUGCGCCAGAAAGAGUAUUAGGUAGAGAUAUCUAUCUAGUGCUAGUCGAGCACCCGAUACAGCUGCGGGUGGGUGCCGGCGACACAACCUGGAUCGGGGAAGGCUAAGGGCUCAGCCUAUGCUAAUCCCGCGCGGAGUCUCAGUAGAGUGAUCUUCUGAAGACCCGUGUAGAGCGCGCCAAGGUGUGGGCUGCCCUGUGCUUGCACAGGCGGCUUAAGGGACGUGCCGACCACCGGGAAACCGGAUUCCUCCAUGGAGCACCCGCAAGUGCAAAGUAGGAGGACACCUUCCAGGGUACCUGGUACCUGUCGGGAGGUGGGGAGAACGCAGAUACUUGGUUUUCACUUCUGGGGGUAAUUCAGAAUCAAUUGAAUUCCAAAGUGAUCUCUUUUCGGCCAGCAGCCGCGGUAAUUCCAGCUCCAAUAGCGUAUAUUAAAGUUGUUGCAGUUAAAAAGCUCGUAGUUGAACCUUGGGCCUGGCUGGCCGGUCUGCCUCACCGCAUGCACUGGUCCGGCCGGGCCUUUCCCUCUGGGGAGCCGCAUGCCCUUCACUGGGUGUGUCGGGGAACCAGGACUUUUACUGUGAAAAAAUUAGAGUGUUCAAAGCAGGCCUAUGCUCGAAUACAUUAGCAUGGAAUAAUAGAAUAGGACGUUGCGGUUCUAUUUUGUUGGUUUCUAGGACCGCCGUAAUGAUUAAUAGGGACAGUCGGGGGCAUCAGUAUUCAAUCGUCAGAGGUGAAAUUCUUGGAUCGAUUGAAGACUAACUACUGCGAAAGCAUUUGCCAAGGAUGUUUUCAUUAAUCAGGAACGAAAGUUAGGGGAUCGAAAACGAUCAGAUACCGUUGUAGUCUUAACCAUAAACUAUGCCGACUAGGGAUCGGGCGAUGUUUUUCUUUGACUCG
rnacentral:rRNA from 1 species